rnacentral:rRNA from 1 species
AUACGUAGGGGACGAGCGUUGUCCGGAAUUACUGGGCGUAAAGGGCGCGUAGGCGGCGCUUCAAGUCGUCUGUCAAAUGGGAGGGCUUAACCCUUUUUCGCAGACGAAACUGGAGAGCUUGAGAAGCAGAGAGGCAAACAGAAUUCCUGGUGUAGCGGUGAAAUGCGUAGAUAUCAGGAAGAAUACCAGUGGCGAAGGCGGUUUGCUGGCUGCAUACUGACGCUGAAGCGCGAAAGCCAGGGGAGCAAACGGGAUUAGAUACCCCGGUAGUCCUGGCAGUAAACGAUGUAUGCUGGGUGUGAGACUAGCGAUAGUUUCGUGCCGAAGUUAACGCGAUAAGCAUACCGCCUGGGGAGUACGGUCGCAAGAUUGAAACUCAAAUGAAUUGACGGGG